rnacentral:rRNA from 1 species
GACGAACGCUGGCGGCGUGCUUAACACAUGCAAGUCGAACGGAAAGGCCCUGCUUGCAGGGUACUCGAGUGGCGAACGGGUGAGUAACACGUGGGUGAUCUGCCCUGCACUUCGGGAUAAGCCUGGGAAACUGGGUCUAAUACCGGAUAGGAGCCAUUUUUAGUGUGAUUGUUGGAAAGUUUUUUCGGUGUAGGAUGAGCUCGCGGCCUAUCAGCUUGUUGGUGGGGUAAUGGCCUACCAAGGCGGCGACGGGUAGCCGGCCUGAGAGGGUGGACGGCCACAUUGGGACUGAGAUACGGCCCAGACUCCGACGGGAGGCAGAAGUGGGGAAGAUUGAAAAAUGGGAGCAAGCCUGAUGCAGCGACGCCGCGUGGGGGAUGACGGCCUUCGGGUUGUAAACUCCUUUCGCUAGGGACGAAGCUUUUUGUGACGGUACCUAGAGAAGAAGCACCGGCUAACUACGUG